GACGAACGCUGGCGGCGUGCCUAAUACAUGCAAGUCGAACGCAGUGGGGACGGGUGAGUAACACGUGGGUAACCUCCCAUCAGAGGGGAUAACACUUGGAAACAGGUGCUAAACCGAUACUGAUGGAUGGACCCGCGGUGCAUUAGCUAGUUGGGGAGGUAACGGCUCACCAAGGCAACGAUGCAUAGCGGACCUGAGGGGGGAAUAGGACACACUGGGACUGAGACACGGCCCAGACUCCUACGGGAGGAAGAAGUAGGGAAUCUGCGGCAAUGGACGAAAGUCUGACCGAGCAACGCCGCGUGAGUGAAGAAGGUUUUCGGAUCGUAAAACUCUGUUGUUAGAGAAGCGGUAUCUAACCAGAAAGCCACGGCGAACUACGUGCCAGCAGCCGCGUAAUUC
rnacentral:rRNA from 1 species